rnacentral:rRNA from 2 species
CUGGUGUCAGCCGCCGCGGUAAUACCAGCACCUCGAGUGGUCAGGACGUUUAUUGGGCCUAAAGCGUCCGUAGCCGGCUCUGCAAGUCUUCGGUUAAAUCCACCUGCUCAACAGAUGGGCUGCUGGAGAUACUACAGAGCUAGGGAGUGGGAGAGGCAGACGGUAUUCAGUGGGUAGGGGUAAAAUCCUCUGAUCCAUUGAGGACCACCAGUGGCGAAGGCGGUCUGCCAGAACACGUUCGACGGUGAGGGAUGAAAGCUGGGGGAGCAAACCGGAUUAGAUACCCGGGUAGUCCCAGCUGUAAACGAUGCAAACUCGGUGAUGCAUUGGCUUGUGGCCAAUGCAGUGCCGCAGGGAAGCCGUUAAGUUUGCCGCCUGGGAAGUACGGACGCAAGUCUGAAACUUAAAG